ACGCAAUAGAUACCCAGGUAGUCCACGCCCUAAACGAUGUCUACUAGUUGUUGGGAGAGUAAAAUCUCUUAAGUAAACGCAGCUAAACGCGUGAAGUAGACCGCCUGGGGAGUACGGUCGCAAGAUUAAAACUCAAAGGAAUUGACGGGGGCCCGGCACAAGCGGUGGAUUAUGUGGAUUAAAUUCGAUGCAACGCGAAAAACCUUACCUGGCCUUGACAUGCUACUAACGAAGCAGAGACGCAUUAGGUGCCCGAAAGGGAAAGUAGACACAGGUGCUGCAUGGCUGUCGUCAGCUCGUGUCGUGAGAUGUUGGGUU
rnacentral:rRNA from 1 species